AACGUAGGACACAAGCGUUAUCCGGAGUUACUGGGCGUAAAGGGCGUGUAGGCGGACCUAUAAGUCUAUUCUGAAAGCUCCUGGCUAAACUGGGAGAGGCGAAUGGAGACUGUAGAUCUAGAGUGAGGAAGAGGAAAGUGGAAUUCCGCGUGUAGUGGUGAAAUGCGUAGAGAUGCGGAGGAACACCAGUGGCGAAGGCGGGUCUCUGGGCAACAACUGACGCUGAGGAGCGAAAGCGUGGGGAGCGAACAGG
rnacentral:rRNA from 1 species